rfam:Ipomoea nil DNA, scaffold: scaffold2792, cultivar: Tokyo-kokei standard.
GUCAAGAUGACCGAGUUGGUCUAAGUCGCCAGUUUCAGGUACUGGUCCGAAAGUGUAUGGGUUCAAAUCCCAUUCUUGAUA